GCCAGACUUUGACAAGCAACGUUUGAUCUACCCUGCCCGACACCAGGAGAGGAUCGUUCAAGGGCGGUUCAAGGCAUCGAAGGGGAAGUCGUCCAUUAUCCUAGGAAAAGACUCUCUCCAACGUUGCCUUCUCGGACUCAACUCGGGCCCUGCCAAUUGGCCGGGCACCAGCCGUUUGGUGGAGGCAAUUUGCAGUCAGCUCUGCCAAAUCCAUCCCAGCGCCACGCAGUCUGCCGGCGUCAAAAAGAGCAGGUGGGCGCUCAUUCUGGCAGACUACGUGGCCAUCCGGGAGGCAGUGCUGAACAGCCCGAGGUUGAUGGCCCAGACCAACCUUCAGCUCUUUGAGCUGAAUCAAAGGACCAUCAGUCAGUGGUACUCUCGGCGUCAGAAGGAGAGGGAGAGGAUGGUGCUGCAGCAGGGAUUGGGGCUCGCUGUUGCCCCCAGCGUCACCGCCCAGCCCCUCCCUGAAGCCAAGCCCCUCCACUACCAGCGGGAGGGAAUCCAGGCACCCUUCCCUUUCCCUACGCCGCCCCCCCCCCCCCGGUCCCACGCCAGACCACCCAGCAAGGAGAGCCCGCCCAAGCGCCCAUUCAGCCAGCCCACCUGGAGCAACAACCCCCCGCACUUCCCGGCCCCUCCCAAGCCCAAGGACAACAUACGGGCUGCUCUUCACCUCCUCCAGUGCCAAGGACAACGGCUUGGAGGAGGAAGAGGAUUGCGGACGACACAGAGUAGGUGACGGCCGGGAAGAGAAGGCAACGUGAGCAUUACGUCUGCGCCAAAUGCGGGUUGCCGAAGCGGCGGGAGACGGGCCACAGCCGCUUCGGCGGCAUAGCGUUCUGCUCUGUGGCUGCGGGGGUAAGACCGUGGCCCAGUGGCUGGCGGAAAUGAAGGACGCUGAGGGGCGAGGUGAAGGACACUGAGCCACUGGCUGGGUGGUUGGACGUUUUUUUUUGUAAAUAGUUCACUGUUCCCCUCUACCUGGACCGAGACCUUGAGCGCGGUGUAGAGGCUUGUGUGUUAUGAUGACCCUCAGAACUGCCUGUAGUCUAUAAGACUACUGGUAGGGUCACCCAUGGUAGGCAGUUCUGAGGCGAGACACCAGACUAACAUCGGUCCGUUCCCAAGCAAAAUGCAUGUUUUAAUUAGCACAUUAACAUUUUAUUUACAUAGUUCAAUUAAAGGACUGUAUAGCAAAGACAGACAGACAGGAUAGUGAUGAACCUGUAAAAAAACAAGGAUAGACAUUAAAAUAUACAAAUCAAACAUGAUUUAUCAAUACAUUUUCAAGUGAAAACUCAACUUUUUGGUAGAACUAAUGUUUUUUUUUCUACAGCAGUAGCUAUAACACAUGAAUAGCUUACCUUUUGCUAGUAUAGACAUUUCUGUCCACAGGUCGGGCCAAGAUGCACUAGCGCCAAUGUUAUACAUACACAUGACUGUUAAAAGAAAUAGAUAGAGCCUGUAUGAAUGCACACACAAUAUAAUAUAUAUAUAUAUAUAUAACACGUCUAGUCAACCGACUUGUUUGACUACAGGGGCUACCCAAACUGUGUAAUUUAAUAACUUUCGUAGAUCGCUAGCUACUGUAGGCGUACAACAUUCAAAGUUUAUUUGACCACUGACAAUCCUGUAAAUCCUUAGCUAACAUCUAUAUCAACUCAAAGUUAGAAUUCUAUACUAUUUAAUUGUCUUCUCUUUCGUUUUUUGAUGGCAUGCGUUUGAAGUGUAUGUAGUUGAAUGCAUUGUAUGAUAUGUGGCAACCUGAUGGUCAUUGGGGCAAACGUGUCUUUCUAUGUAAACUGAAUUUAACUGCAAAUGAAAUAAUAAUCACCAUAACCCCCAAACCCCCCACUGCUGUCCUCCUAGCAGACCUAUCAAGCAAACGAGUUGGUUCUCAAGGCCACACCCAAGGCAGUAAAAGUGACAGCUGACGGCCCCCCUGCUUUUGGUGCUCAGGGCCCUCUUGUGAGGGCUAAGAAGUGGAAGGAAGUGGAGGCAGAGGCUCGAGCCUGCGUCGUCUCCGAGGGAGGUGACCCCGGUGCAGAGACGGUCAUCCUGAGCCGGUGCACGGUUCAGUUCGGCAAGUACUGGGGUCAGACCUUCAAGUGGAUGAUGGAGAACGACGUGGGCUACAUGGUGCACGUGGUAACAGUGCAUCAGAAGGAGACGGAGCGAGAGCGCAGUGUUUCCCAGCAUCCCCUGAUGAGCCAACAAGGAUGCCUUGACUUGCUACUCGUGCGCCUAUCCGGCCUUCGCUGAGAUGGUCAGGUUCAACCGGA
rnacentral:lncRNA from 1 species